GAUUUUUAUGUGGAAAUCCUUGCGGGAGAAAACCACGGACGCACGAAGGCGCAAUCACUAUAAGGGUGGAGUAUUACAAGCACGAGACGACAUACGGUCUUUAGGUGCGACUACGUGGAGUAUAUAUGAGGGGCAAUACACAGGAGUCCUUGGAGGACAAGUAAACGAGUUGUACUCGUACGCGUCGCUACCAACGCAAAGGCCCACACCGUUUGUACUACG
rnacentral:lncRNA from 1 species